rnacentral:tRNA from 1 species
AGCCCGGUCGUCUAGCGGCCAAAGGACCCAGCCCGGCUACGGAUGCGGGGCUUUGGAGCCGCAAGGCGGAGAAACCCCGUGGCCCGGGUUCGAAUCCCGGCCGGGCUA